GGCUUAACACAUGCAAGUCGAGGGGCAGCAUGGUCUUAGCUUGCUAAGGCCGAUGGCGACCGGCGCACGGGUGAGUAACACGUAUCCAACCUGCCGUCUACUCUUGGACAGCCUUCUGAAAGGAAGAUUAAUACAAGAUGGCAUCAUGAGUCCGCAUGUUCACAUGAUUAAAGGUAUUCCGGUAGACGAUGGGGAUGCGUUCCAUUAGAUAGUAGGCGGGGUAACGGCCCACCUAGUCUUCGAUGGAUAGGGGUUCUGAGAGGAAGGUCCCCCACAUUGGAACUGAGACACGGUCCAAACUCCUACGGGAGGCAGCAGUGAGGAAUAUUGGUCAAUGGGCGAGAGCCUGAACCAGCCAAGUAGCGUGAAGGAUGACUGCCCUAUGGGUUGUAAACUUCUUUUAUAAAGGAAUAAAGUCGGGUAUGCAUACCCGUUUGCAUGUACUUUAUGAAUAAGGAUCGGCUAACUCCGUGCCAGCAGCCGCGGUAAUACGGAGGAUCCGAGCGUUAUCCGGAUUUAUUGGGUUUAAAGGGAGCGUAGAUGGAUGUUUAAGUCAGUUGUGAAAGUUUGCGGCUCAACCGUAAAAUUGCAGUUGAUACUGGAUAUCUUGAGUGCAGUUGAGGCAGGCGGAAUUCGUGGUGUAGCGGUGAAAUGCUUAGAUAUCACGAAGAACUCCGAUUGCGAAGGCAGCCUGCUAAGCUGCAACUGACAUUGAGGCUCGAAAGUGUGGGUAUCAAACAGGAUUAGAUACCCUGGUAGUCCACACGGUAAACGAUGAAUACUCGCUGUUUGCGAUAUACAGCAAGCGGCCAAGCGAAAGCGUUAAGUAUUCCACCUGGGGAGUACGCCGGCAACGGUGAAACUCAAAGGAAUUGACGGGGGCCCGCACAAGCGGAGGAACACGUGGUUUAAUUCGAUGAUACGCGAGGAACCUUACCCGGGCUUAAAUUGCAGAUGAAUUACGGUGAAAGCCGUAAGCCGCAAGGCAUCUGUGAAGGUGCUGCAUGGUUGUCGUCAGCUCGUGCCGUGAGGUGUCGGCUUAAGUGCCAUAACGAGCGCAACCCUUGUUGUCAGUUACUAACAGGUUCCGCUGAGGACUCUGACAAGACUGCCAUCGUAAGAUGUGAGGAAGGUGGGGAUGACGUCAAAUCAGCACGGCCCUUACGUCCGGGGCUACACACGUGUUACAAUGGGGGGGUACAGAGGGCCGCUACCACGCGAGUGGAUGCCAAUCCCAAAAACCUCUCUCAGUUCGGACUGGAGUCUGCAACCCGACUCCACGAAGCUGGAUUCGCUAGUAAUCGCGCAUCAGCCACGGCGCGGUGAAUACGUUCCCGGGCCUUGUACACACCGCCCGUCAAGCCAUGGGAGCCGGGGGUACCUGAAGUGCGUAACCGCGAGGAGCGCCCUAGGGUAAAACUGGUGACUGGGGCUAAGUAGU
rnacentral:rRNA from 1 species